UACGUAGGGGGCUAGCGUUGUCCGGAUUUAUUGGGCGUAAAGAGCGUGUAGGCGGCCAGGUAGGUCUGCUGUGAAAACUCGAGGCUCAACCUCGAGACGUCGGCGGAAACCAUCUGGCUAGAGUCCGGAAGAGGAGAGUGGAAUUCCUGGUGUAGCGGUGAAAUGCGCAGAUAUCAGGAAGAACACCCGUGGCGAAGGCGGCUCUCUGGGACGGUACUGACGCUGAGACGCGAAAGCGUGGGGAGCGAACGG
rnacentral:rRNA from 1 species